CGUGUAGGCGGGAUGUCAGGUAUUCUGUGAAAGCCCCGGGCUCAACCCGGGAACGGCAGAGUAAACCGACAUUCUUGAGGCAGGUAGAGGUCAUCGGAACAAGUGGUGGAGCGGUGAAAUGCGUAGAUAUCACUUGGAACGCCGGAGGCGAAAGCGGAUGACUGGACCUGUCCUGACGCUGAGACGCGAAAGCGUGGGUAGCGAACAGGAUUAGAUACCCUGGUAGUCC
rnacentral:rRNA from 1 species